UCAUAUUUAGUCUAGUACCACACCUUUAGCCCUAUCCAUGCUUCAUACUACAUGCAUUCUUGUGUCAUUAUCAUCAUGUGCAUUCAUGUGCAAAAAGUACGGAGUAUACAGACCGACAUAGCUUAGCUUUAGUUAGGAUUGUAAUUGUAGUUGUUUGGGAUGAUUGACAUUGAGUUCUUGUGGUUAUAUUGUCAUAUUUAUGAGCAUGUGCUGUGAGCGAUCAUGAUUGAGUUCUGUUGAUGCAGUUUGUGAGACGAGAACCAGUACCACUCCCCCGUAAAAAAAAAAAAAAAAGAGAAAAGAACGGGAAAGGAGAAAGAAUGGAACCGGAAAAGUCGAUAAGUCUUUGGUUGUAUUUGAAAAGAAUCUAUAAUACUUAUGAUUUGUUUGGGGUUUGAUUUGGUUAAGGUGAUCCGAGUUCGAGGGAAGUUAUGUA
rnacentral:lncRNA from 1 species